UACGUAGGGUGCAAGCGUUUAAUCGGAAUUACUGGGCGUAAAGCGUGCGCAGGCGGUUGUGCAAGACAGAUGUGAAAUCCCCCGGGCUCAACCUGGGAAUUGCAUUUGUGACUGCACAGCUAGAGUGUGUCAGAGGGGGGGUAGAAUUCCACGUGUAGCAGUGAAAUGCGUAGAGAUGUGGAGGAAUACCGAUGGCGAAGGCAGCCCCCCUGGGAUAACACUGACGCUCAUGCACGAAAGCGUGGGGAGCAAACAGG
rnacentral:rRNA from 1 species